CGAGAGCCGAGGGCAGAGCCUCACGAAGGAAGCUCAACCGACGGCGACCGCCGGUGCCCCCUCAAGCCGCCUCCCGCUGCCUCCCGGGUCGCAGCGACGGCGGCUCCCGGGUUCCGGCUCUUCUAAGCUUCCCCUAGCCAAUGGGGUGUACUGUGCAUUUGGCUCCGCCCCUAGCCUACGAAUUUCUGGCACUGAUUGGUCUCGACGCGAGCAUAUGCGUGACGGGGCAUGAUGUACACCUACUUCAUAUUCGUGGAAUUAAUAGUUAGAGUAAUCGUGGAACCAUAAGGAAUGAUUACUGAAGAAAUGCUAUACAUCCUACAAAUAAAAGAAAGUUUCACAAAGACAUGAAAGGAAAAAAAUGUGGAGGUGAGUAGGCCACAGUAACAUUAUUUUAUGGGUUCUAAGUGCUCUGCUUUACUUCCAGCCUUGGAGAAACAAGUAUCUUUAUGAGCAUGAACUUGCUGGGAAGGAAUGACUGCCAUGCAGUGCUGUGAGCACAUCUGCCCAGGUCCUUAAAGCAGAGCAGGUGGCUGUGCUCCUGUGCUGGGAAGGGCCCUGGCGCUAGACUUCUGAGACCUGGAUCUUUACUCUGACUCAGAGCUCUGCAACUUCCCACAUACACUUCAAUCUCUUUGAAUGCUGUUCUAAAAUGAGGACAGUAUAAUCUCCACCAUUCUUUCCAGCUCUGAACUUCAUCCAGUCAUUUAUUCAGCACAUAUUUAUUGAGCACUCACUGCAUUCCAGACACUGUGCUAAGUACUUGUGGAGGUAUUAAUAAAAACCAAACAAAAUCAAAAUAGGACAUAGUUCUGGAUCUGAAAAUAAAUAUUUCAAUCCUAUUGGGGAUGAGGAAGGUAUAGGAGCAGGACACUGGUAAGGAAGCCUUUGUUUUGAAUCUAUCUUUACAAACAGGUAUAUAUAAUGUGUGUGUGGCGGCUGGGCACAGUGGCUCAGGCCUGGAAUCCCAGCACGUUGAGAAGCCAAGGUGGGCAGAUCACCAGAGGUCAGGAGUUCAAGACCAGCCUGGCAACAUGGUGAAACCCCGUCUCUACUACAAAUACAAAAUUAGCUGGGCAUGGUGUCAUGCGCCUGUAAUCCCAGCUACUCAGGAGGCUGAGGCAGGAGAAUCACUUGAACCAGGGAGGCAAAGGUUGCAGUGAGCCAAUAUCGCACCAUUGCACUCCAGCCUGGGUGAGUGAGCCAGACUGUGUCUCAAAAAAAAAAAGUGUAUG